rnacentral:rRNA from 1 species
CCUACGGGUGGCAGCAGUGAGGAAUAUUGGUCAAUGGGCGGAAGCCUGAACCAGCCAAGUAGCGUGCAGGAUGACGGCCCUACGGGUUGUAAACUGCUGUUAUACGGGAAUAACGCGCCUUACUUGUAGGGCUUUGCAUGUACCGUACGAAUAAGGACCGGCUAAUUCCGUGCCAGCAGCCGCGGUAAUACGGAGGGUCCGGGCGUUAUCCGGAUUUAUUGGGUUGAAGGGGAGCGUAGGCCGCAUGUCAAGCGUGCUGUGAAAUGUCCUGGCUCAACCCGGGCCUUGCAGCGCGAACUGGCGUGCGUGAGUCAGCGGAAAGCAGGCGGAAUUCGUCGUGUAGCGGUGAAAUGCUUAGAUAUGACGAAGAACCCCGAUUGCGAAGGCAGCUUGCUGCAGCGGAACUGACGCUGAUGCUCGAAAGCGAGGGUAUCGAACAGGAUUAGAUACCCCUGUAGUC